GAGCCCUGUUCUAAUUGGAACUAAAAUGGUUGAAAGAGUGAUAAAUAUGCGAAAAUUGGCUCCUCCAAAGCAAGAUGAUAAACUCUCUCCUUAUGGUAACCUGUCUGGGAAGUCAUCAUCACCCGACAGCUCAGGCUUUGGAAGAACGCUUUCAAAGAAAUCAUUGGAUAUGGCUAUAAGACAUAUGGACAUAAGGCGAAGCAUUCCUGGUAAUUUAAGGCCUCUGAUGACUAACAUUCCAGCAUCUUCAAUGUAUAGUGUGAGAUCAGGGUCUACACGAAGCAGAACAGUUAGUGUGUCAGACUCUCCUCUGGCAACAAGCAGUAAUGCUAGUUCAGAAGUGAGUGUCAACAAUAAUGGUUUUUCUUUGUUUAGAUGGGAUCGAAUUAGAAGAUGAUGUUGGCAAUGAUAGAGGUGGUCAAUCUCCUCUACAAGGCAGGUAACAGUUGGAAACAAAUAUUCUUGAUGACUAAGGCUUUUUCUAAUCGCCUCAUGAAUUAUUUUGGGUUUUCAACCAGCUUGACAGCUGAAAGAGAAACCUAUUUCUGGAAAGAGAAGAAAACCGACCAAAAUGCAUGCGUUUGGUAAUGUAAAGUUUGUUAGAUUGCUUGGCAAUUAAGUUUUCUGUAAUCCAUGGUCUUUGUAUUAUUAGGGAAACCAUUUAUGAGUCCUACGGUUGUUCUUGCUCAUUUCCUACAAGGUGAGAUUUGAAUCAUACAGUUGUUCAUUUUC
rnacentral:misc_RNA from 1 species